GACGAACGCUGGCGGCGUGCUUAACACAUGCCAGUCGAACGGAAAGGCCCUGCUUUUGUGGGGUGCUCGAGUGGCGAACGGGUGAGUAACACGUGAGUAACCUGCCCUUGACUUUGGGAUAACUUCAGGAAACUGGGGCUAAUACCGGAUAGGAGCUCCUGCUGCAUGGUGGGGGUUGGAAAGUUUCGGCGGUUGGGGAUGGACUCGCGGCUUAUCAGCUUGAUGGUGGGGUAGUGGCUUACCAAGGCUUUGACGGGUAGCCGGCCUGAGAGGGUGACCGGCCACAUUGGGACUGAGAUACGGCCCAGACUCCUACGGGAGGCAGCAGUGGGGAAUAUUGCACAAUGGGCGGAAGCCUGAUGCAGCAACGCCGCGUGCGGGAUGACGGCCUUCGGGUUGUAAACCGCUUUCGCCUGUGACGAAGCGUGAGUGACGGUAAUGGGUAAAGAAGCACCGGCUAACUACGUG
rnacentral:rRNA from 1 species